rnacentral:rRNA from 1 species
UGGGGAAUAUUGCACAAUGGGCGCAAGCCUGAUGCAGCCAUGCCGCGUGUGUGAAGAAGGCCUUCGGGUUGUAAAGCACUUUCAGCGGGGAGGAAGGCGAUAAGGUUAAUAACCUUGUCGAUUGACGUUACCCGCAGAAGAAGCUCCGGCUAACUCCGUGCCAGCAGCCGCGGUAAUACGGAGGGUGCAAGCGUUAAUCGGAAUUACUGGGCGUAAAGCGCACGCAGGCGGUCUGUCAAGUCGGAUGUGAAAUCCCCGGGCUCAACCUGGGAACUGCAUUCGAAACUGGCAGGCUAGAGUCUUGUAGAGGGGGGUAGAAUUCCAGGUGUAGCGGUGAAAUGCGUAGAGAUCUGGAGGAAUACCGGUGGCGAAGGCGGCCCCCUGGACGAAGACUGACGCUCAGGUGCGAAAGCGUGGGGAGCAAACAGG